rnacentral:lncRNA from 1 species
UGAAACGUGUAAGCUAUUUGAUGAUGAUGUAAGUUUUAAUUCUCCUCUCUUAAGUUAUUCACAUGAAACUGCUUAAUACACACUUUGAAUUCAAGGAGUUGAUGAUAGUAACAAGGAAACAGCCUCUCUACCUCCACGAGGUAGUGGCAAGGUCUGCGUACAAUUUACCCUCCCCAGACCCCACCUAGUGGGAUCUCACUGGGCAUGUUGUUGUUGUUGUUGAUGAUAGUAACAAGGAAAUGCAGCUGUAAGUGAAAUAUGUAAUGUGCUGACCAACCUCUUCUCCACUUUUCAUGUUGCAGACAUCCAAAAGACAGUAUCACUGCAAUGGUUGUGGAAUAUGCAGGUAUUGUUACUUAGCUGAAAUUCCAAUGCCUUCCCCAUUCUCCAUAACAUUUUCUCUCUCUCUCAUUUCUGUUGAGCUUCUGAUAGAGCGAAAAACGUAACUAAAGAAAAGGAGAUAACACCUUUGCUAACAUCUUCCAUGCGUAAUAACAAAAAGACCUGCUCUGCAAUUCAAUACCAAUUCAUCUGAAAUGUUCCAUAUCAUACUUUGUGUAUACAUUUGAUGUUUAAACUCUGUAUUGAUUCUGAUGUUGGUGUUCUAUUUGUAUUAUUUUUAUGUUUC